rnacentral:rRNA from 1 species
UACGUAGGGGGCAAGCGUUGUCCGGAAUCAUUGGGCGUAAAGAGCGUGUAGGCGGCUCGAUAAGUCUGCUGUGAAAGUCCAGGGCUCAACCCUGGAAGGCCGGUGGAAACUGUCUGGCUAGAGUCCGGAAGAGGAGAAUGGAAUUCCCGGUGUAGUGGUGAAAUGCGUAGAGAUCGGGAGGAACACCAGUGGCGAAGGCGGCCGGCUGGGGGUGACCUGACGCUGAGGCGCGAAAGCGUGGGGAGCGAACCGG